AAAAGAACAAAUUUGCUAGAAAUUGCUAAUUUUAAAAAGGCACAUUCAAGGGCUGGGAUGAGGUCUGAGCUAAGAAGUGGAAGAUGUGACGUGCUAUGGGACAGAGGAAGUCUGUAACUCACAUUAACUGCCACUGCAGUCAGAGAGACAGCAGAGAUGGGGGAUGCCACCACUGCCAGGGACCCCAGCAGCAGCAGCUGCCACCACAGCAGUAACCAGUUUGGCACAGGAAAAGUAGAUAUGGCAGGACCAACACAUGAGGUGUUUGUCCUUGCCAGCCACGCAAUGAGAAGGGGCACAUCCCACUGUCACAGAGCUCCCCACACCUAACACUAUCUGUGAUGCACCCCAAGGGUGAGUUGCUGACCCCAAAAUACUGAUUGUAUUCCCAGUGAAACCACUCAGAGCUGUGAACCCAAAGCCCUCUGGUGUGGAGCAUCCACUCACCUUCUGCCAGGGGGUCCAGGGUGUGGAUCAUGAGCUGGACGAUGGUGCCGCGCAUCUGGGAGUUGUGCAGGGAGGCCGAGCUGCUGCCCCGCUGCAGGGCUGGCCCAGGCUGUGGGAAGGCACAAAACCACUCAGUCCCAGCUUCUUUGUCCUCUACAUCAAACAAGGCCUCUCCAGGCCAUGGGGCAGCAAUUCAACAGCAGCAGAGGAAUCUGCUGUUCAGUGUUUGCUAUGGGAAAGGACAGACCCCGCCAGCCGCUGCUAUGGCAGCCCAGGAAGAAAUUUAGCCACGAGACCAGCAUUUAGCUUCUUUUUCAGCUCCUGCUUCACCCAUUGCUCCAGGAACACGUUCUGUUUCAUGGUGAACACGUAUGCGGCAUAGGCAGUCAGUAAAAGGAGGCUUUCCCACCAAUCAAUGACACUGUCU